rnacentral:rRNA from 1 species
CGAGCGAGCUUGCCUAGAUGAUUUUAGUGCUUGCACUAAAUGAAACUAGAUACAAGCGAGCGGCGGACGGGUGAGUAACACGUGGGUAACCUGCCCAAGAGACUGGGAUAACACCUGGAAACAGAUGCUAAUACCGGAUAACAACACUAGACGCAUGUCUAGAGUUUGAAAGAUGGUUCUGCUAUCACUCUUGGAUGGACCUGCGGUGCAUUAGCUAGUUGGUAAGGUAACGGCUUACCAAGGCAAUGAUGCAUAGCCGAGUUGAGAGACUGAUCGGCCACAUUGGGACUGAGACACGGCCCAAACUCCUACGGGAGGCAGCAGUAGGGAAUCUUCCACAAUGGACGAAAGUCUGAUGGAGCAACGCCGCGUGAGUGAAGAAGGGUUUCGGCUCGUAAAGCUCUGUUGGUAGUGAAGAAAGAUAGAGGUAGUAACUGGCCUUUAUUUGACGGUAAUUACUUAGAAAGUCACGGCUAACUACGUGCCAGCAGCCGCGGUAAUACGUAGGUGGCAAGCGUUGUCCGGAUUUAUUGGGCGUAAAGCGAGUGCAGGCGGUUCAAUAAGUCUGAUGUGAAAGCCUUCGGCUCAACCGGAGAAUUGCAUCAGAAACUGUUGAACUUGAGUGCAGAAGAGGAGAGUGGAACUCCAUGUGUAGCGGUGGAAUGCGUAGAUCUAUGGAAGAACACCAGUGGCGAAGGCGGCUCUCUGGUCUGCAACUGACGCUGAGGCUCGAAAGCAUGGGUAGCGAACAGGAUUAGAUACCCUGGUAGUCCAUGCCGUAAACGAUGAGUGCUAAGUGUUGGGAGGUUUCCGCCUCUCAGUGCUGCAGCUAACGCAUUAAGCACUCCGCCUGGGGAGUACGACCGCAAGGUUGAAACUCAAAGGAAUUGACGGGGGCCCGCACAAGCGGUGGAGCAUGUGGUUUAAUUCGAAGCAACGCGAAGAACCUUACCAGGUCUUGACAUCCAGUGCAAACCUAAGAGAUUAGGUGUUCCCUUCGGGGACGCUGAGACAGGUGGUGCAUGGCUGUCGUCAGCUCGUGUCGUGAGAUGUUGGGUUAAGUCCCGCAACGAGCGCAACCCUUGUCAUUAGUUGCCAUCAUUAAGUUGGGCACUCUAAUGAGACUGCCGGUGACAAACCGGAGGAAGGUGGGGAUGACGUCAAGUCAUCAUGCCCCUUAUGACCUGGGCUACACACGUGCUACAAUGGACGGUACAACGAGAAGCGAACCUGCGAAGGCAAGCGGAUCUCUUAAAGCCGUUCUCAGUUCGGACUGUAGGCUGCAACUCGCCUACACGAAGCUGGAAUCGCUAGUAA